rnacentral:rRNA from 1 species
AAAUUGAAGAGUUUGAUCAUGGCUCAGAUUGAACGCUGGCGGCAGGCCUAACACAUGCAAGUCGAACGGUAACAGGAAGCAGCUUGCUGCUUUGCUGACGAGUGGCGGACGGGUGAGUAAUGUCUGGGAAACUGCCUGAUGGAGGGGGAUAACUACUGGAAACGGUGGCUAAUACCGCAUAACGUCGCAAGACCAAAGAGGGGGACCUUCGGGCCUCUUGCCAUCAGAUGUGCCCAGAUGGGAUUAGCUAGUUGGUGAGGUAACGGCUCACCAAGGCGACGAUCCCUAGCUGGUCUGAGAGGAUGACCAGCCACACUGGAACUGAGACACGGUCCAGACUCCUACGGGAGGCAGCAGUGGGGAAUAUUGCACAAUGGGCGCAAGCCUGAUGCAGCCAUGCCGCGUGUAUGAAGAAGGCCUUCGGGUUGUAAAGUACUUUCAGCGGGGAGGAAGGUGUUGUGGUUAAUAACCACAGCAAUUGACGUUACCCGCAGAAGAAGCACCGGCUAACUCCGUGCCAGCAGCCGCGGUAAUACGGAGGGUGCAAGCGUUAAUCGGAAUUACUGGGCGUAAAGCGCACGCAGGCGGUCUGUCAAGUCGGAUGUGAAAUCCCCGGGCUCAACCUGGGAACUGCAUUCGAAACUGGCAGGCUUGAGUCUUGUAGAGGGGGGUAGAAUUCCAGGUGUAGCGGUGAAAUGCGUAGAGAUCUGGAGGAAUACCGGUGGCGAAGGCGGCCCCCUGGACAAAGACUGACGCUCAGGUGCGAAAGCGUGGGGAGCAAACAGGAUUAGAUACCCUGGUAGUCCACGCCGUAAACGAUGUCUACUUGGAGGUUGUGCCCUUGAGGCGUGGCUUCCGGAGCUAACGCGUUAAGUAGACCGCCUGGGGAGUACGGCCGCAAGGUUAAAACUCAAAUGAAUUGACGGGGGCCCGCACAAGCGGUGGAGCAUGUGGUUUAAUUCGAUGCAACGCGAAGAACCUUACCUGGUCUUGACAUCCACAGAACUUUCCAGAGAUGGACUGGUGCCUUCGGGAACUGUGAGACAGGUGCUGCAUGGCUGUCGUCAGCUCGUGUUGUGAAAUGUUGGGUUAAGUCCCGCAACGAGCGCAACCCUUAUCCUUUGUUGCCAGCGGUUAGGCCGGGAACUCAAAGGAGACUGCCAGUGAUAAACUGGAGGAAGGUGGGGAUGACGUCAAGUCAUCAUGGCCCUUACGACCAGGGCUACACACGUGCUACAAUGGCGCAUACAAAGAGAAGCGACCUCGCGAGAGCAAGCGGACCUCAUAAAGUGCGUCGUAGUCCGGAUUGGAGUCUGCAACUCGACUCCAUGAAGUCGGAAUCGCUAGUAAUCGUGGAUCAGAAUGCCACGGUGAAUACGUUCCCGGGCCUUGUACACACCGCCCGUCACACCAUGGGAGUGGGUUGCAAAAGAAGUAGGUAGCUUAACCUUCGGGAGGGCGCUUACCACUUUGUGAUUCAUGACUGGGGUGAAGUCGUAACAAGGUAACCGUAGGGGAACCUGCGGUUGGAUCACCUCCUUACCUUAAAGAAGC